ACAGACUCCACCCUACCCCCAUCACAGCUGCUGUAAAAGGAAACAACAGCUAUCCUAUUGGGACUAACUUUAACUCUAAUCCUCACUUCCUGGAAAGCUUCUCAGGUAACCAGUCCCCUGGAAAGGACAAGCCCAGCGCUGUGAUCUUGCAGCCAAAAGGUUUUUCUCCCACACUCAGAGAAACCUGAGUGCACGAAGGUGCUGAGAGCUACUCAUUCAAUACAUACAUGGGCCCUUCCCCACAUUCUGAACGGCAACCAUGGCAACAAGUGUUCAUCUGAGCAGCUGCUCCAGGCAAGUUCUGCUUGAGUACUGACAGUGACAAACACUUCAGAAGGUAGUUUUCUGCAGAGAAGUCUAGAAGCCCAGGAGAUCUUGAUGGCCACACACAUGGGCCAACUAGCAGAGACAGAAGGAACACCCAUUCAGAGCCUGCCCCACAUGUGGCCCAUACAUAUACAGCCACCCAAUUAGACAAGAUGGAUGAAGCAAAGAAGUGCAGGCUGACAGGAGCCGGAUGUAGAUCUCUCCUGAGAGACACAGCCAGAAUACAGCAAAUACAAAGGCGAAUGCCAGCAGCAAACCAAUGAACUGAGAAUAGGAACCCCGUUGAAGGAAUCAGAGAAAAGAACUGGAAGAGGUUGAAGGGGCUCGAGACCCCAUAUGUACAACAAUACCAAGCAACCAGAGCUUCCAGGACUAAGCCACUACCUAAAGACUAUACACGGAGUGACCCUGGACUCUGACCUCAUAGGUAGCAAUGAAUAUCCUAGUAAGAGCACCAGUGGAAGGGGAAGCCCUGGGUCCUGCUAAGACUGAAUCCCCAGUGAACGUGAUUGUUG
ensembl:lncRNA